rnacentral:misc_RNA from 1 species
AACGCACAUUGCGCCCGCUAGUAUUCUAGCGGGCAUGCCUGUUCGAGCGUCAUUUCAACCCUCAAGCCCUGCUUGGUGUUGGGGCCCUACGGCUGCCGUAGGCCCUGAAAAGAAGUGGCGGGCUCGCUAUAACUCCGAGCGUAGUAGAAAUAUCUCGCUAGGGAAGUGUGGCGUGCUCCUGCCGUUAAAGACCCCUCUUUAACACAAGGUUGACCUCGGAUCAGGUAGGAAUACCCGCUGAACUUAA